rnacentral:rRNA from 1 species
AGUGAACGCUGGCGGCGUGCCUAAUACAUGCAAGUCGAACGGAGUGGCGCACGGGUGAGUAAUAUAUAGCUACUCUGCCCCUUGCUGGAGGACAACAGUUAGAAAUGUCUGCUAAUACUCCAUAGAGGGGGAUGAGACUAUAUCGUAUCAGCUAGUCGGUGGGGUAACGGCCUACCGAGGCUAUGACGGGUAACUGGUCUGAGGGGAUGAUCAGCAACAUUGGAACGGAGACACCGUUCGAACACCUUCGGCAGGCAGCAGAAGGGAGUAUUGCGCAAUGGGGGUGACCCAAAAGCGGCAACGGCGCGUGGAGGAUGAUACGUUGCGGAGCAGAAACUCCUUUUGUUAGGUAGGCGGUACCUAACGAAUAAGCACCGGCUAACUCCGUGCCAGCAGCCGCGGUAAUAC